UGGCUGAGUGGUAAAGCACUUGGCUUCCAAAUUGGGGUCCUGGGUUCAAAUCCUAG
rnacentral:tRNA from 1 species